rnacentral:tRNA from 1 species
GGAGGGUACAGCUCAAGUGGUAGAGCACAUGCUUAACAUGCACAAGGUCCUGGGUUCAAUCCCCAGAACCUCCA